rnacentral:rRNA from 1 species
GAUGAACGCUGGCGGCGUGCUUAACACAUGCAAGUCGAACGAUGAAGCCCAGCUUGCUGGGUGGAUUAGUGGCGAACGGGUGAGUAACACGUGAGUAACCUGCCCUUAACUCUGGGAUAAGCCUGGGAAACUGGGUCUAAUACCGGAUAGGAGCGUCCACCGCAUGGUGGGUGUUGGAAAGAUUUAUCGGUUUUGGAUGGACUCGCGGCCUAUCAGCUUGUUGGUGAGGUAAUGGCUCACCAAGGCGACGACGGGUAGCCGGCCUGGGAGGGUGAACGGCCACCCUGGGACUGCGACACGGCCCAGACUCCUACGGGAGGCAGCAGUGGGGAAUAUUGCACAAUGGGCGCAAGCCUGAUGCAGCGACGCCGCGUGAGGGAUGACGGCCUUCGGGUUGUAAACCUCUUUCAGUAGGGAAGAAGCGAAAGUGACGGUACCUGCAGAAGAAGCACCGGCUAACUACGUG